rnacentral:misc_RNA from 1 species
AACGUAAAUAAACUUUAUAGCUUGAUUUAUUGAUAUUCAUGGCAAUAAAAUGCAUAAAUUGACGUUGUUUGUGUUUUUAUUGAAAAUAAACAAAAGUACGAUAAUUUUCUUGUCAGUACCAUGAUUUUACGGCCCUGAUACCAUAAUUUAGUCUGUCAAGGUUGGGUAUACUGCGUAGCAGCAAACCGUAGAAUACUUCGGCAUAAGCAAUGCCCAGUCGAUUCUGUAUGGUCUAUGACAGUCUAUGAUAUUGAUCAGUAACUGUCGAAAAACGUCAGAAUAAACAAAAUUAUGUUAUGCGAAGCCCUGAAGUUGUUUAAUCGCUGUGAUGACUUCGUCUAUUGAAUCUGUUGUGUACUUGGGACUCGCUGCUCUGCUGUGGGGUGCUACCAAUCCGUUCAUCAAAAAAGGAUCCGAAGGCUUGCAGUAUGUCAAAGCAAGCUCACCGUGCAGACAAUUAGCUAAAGAAGUUGUGUUUCUCGUCACAACCUUGAAAUAUAUAAUACCAUUUGUAAUCAAUCAGUGUGGUUCGGUCCUUUACUUUCUUGCACUUCAAAGUGCAGACCUGUCUCUGGCUGUACCAGUUUCAAACUCACUCACGUUUGUAUUCACCGCAAUUAGUGGAUGGUUUUUGGGUGAAGAGAAAUCCGACAGAAGUAUGAAAUAAUUCAUUGUCAAAGCGGGAUUAAAGUUGUCAGGCAUGGAAGCAUCUGGUUCGAAGUUUAUACUUCGAUUAACACGAGGAAAAUGAUGCCUUACCUUAUGGUCAAAACGUUUCGGUGGCAAGAAUUCUGGUUUCUCGAGCGGUGCAAUCAUUACAACCAUCAAAACUGGUUGUUCCGUCAGACAUCAGGUGCCAGAGUGAAUUUCAUCAGGCCAUUGCCACCUUCUUAACAUCAGUUGAGGUUAGCAUUGUCUGGAGCAAAAAAAAU